rnacentral:rRNA from 1 species
GACGUAGGAGGCAAGCGUUAUUCGGAUUUACUGGGCGUAAAGCGCGUGUAGGCGGUUCGGAAAGUUGGAUGUGAAAGCUCCUGGCUUAACUGGGAGAGGUCGUUCAAUACUUCCGGACUUGAGGAUGUGAGAGGAGAGUGGAAUUCCGAGUGUAGUGGUGAAAUGCGUAGAUAUUCGGAGGAACACCAGUGGCGAAAGCGGUUCUCUGGCACAUAUCUGACGCUCAGACGCGAAAGCUAGGGUAGCAAACGGG